CCGUCGAUAUCUCAGAUGGUAGAGCGGAGGACUGUAAAGUUGCAGCAAUCCUCAGGUCGCUAGUUCGAAUCCGGCUCGACGGA
rfam:Angiostrongylus costaricensis strain Costa Rica genome assembly, scaffold: ACOC_contig0002700